CAUCUUUUCCUAGUCGAACAAAUUGCAGAUUUGAUUCUUUAGCUCACCGGAUGGGUAAUUCUCUCUCCUUAUCGAUCUGUCUAAAGCUUUUUCUUCUUGUCAGAUCUGUAUGCUCUAUCCAGAUCGUAAUAUGAAGAUGCCAAGCCCAAACCCUCUCAUCCUUUCCGCAAUGCCGUCCCCGCCGCCCCUAGAUACCUCCGCGAUUGAGUAGCUCUAUCGCUGUCAGUCCUGCAACCACGCGUGCCUCACAUCACCACCCGCCCAGCGACCACGCGAACGACGAGUUGUGCAUCGCGCAUGUGAUUGGGAACCUCUGCCGCGCCACAGCUUUCCAUUAAGCCCUUCAUCAAUGGCAGAGCCUCCGGUAUGCUCGUUACCUGCGUCACCCAACCCAUCGAUAUGAUCAAGUGAGAAUUCAAUUGGGUCAGGGAUCAGCUGGACAAGUUGCCAGGACCAUGAUCAAGGAGGAGGGUUUCGGUUCAUUGUAUAAGGUGAGAAUUCAAUUGGGUCAGGGAUCAGCUGGACAAGUUGCCAGGACCAUGAUCAAGGAGGAGGGUUUUGGUUCAUUGUUUAAGGUAUGCUUAUUUGAUGCGAAUACAGUUUGACUUUUUGAUGCAUGAUUUACUUGAUUUAGUGCUGGAUGUUUUGGAUGAGGAAUUUAUAUCUGUUUGAGGUCUCGAAUUUUAGAUUCUUCAUGCCAAUCAGAUAUGUAUUCCUUUCCAGUAAUCCAAUUGAUUGUUUGGAGUGGGUAGGUUGUCUCUAACUUGUUUGAUUUGAUUGUUUUCUCAAAACCAAAAACUCGAGCUAAAAUCGUUUUCUUGCUUAUUUCUUUUGUUUCUGUUUUCGCAAGUUUCAAGGAACACUUCAGUACAUUCUCUUAAUAAUUUCUUGUUGUCUUCGGGUGUAAAUCAUAUUCAAAGAACAUGACCCUGCAUCAGUUGUGUCGUAAGUUCAUAUUAUUUCUGAGCAUUAUUACUGAUGCUUGUAAUACAUGAACUUACGAGUCCAGAAUGAGGAAUGCCUUAACUAUUUAGUUUUAACCUCAAAAUAACAAAGAGAAGAGGCAAGGUCUUGUGGAGUUUCUUACACCUGAAGAGGCUUUGGUUGUCAUUUGAUGGCAGUUCAUUCUUUGGUUCUAUUCCCAAAAUCAGGCGCGCUAAGUAGUUUGUUGACAUUGCUGUAAGAAUCAUAAUUUUAACCUUUUAGUUUGAUCUUAUAUAUCCUUUUGAUGCAUGAUCUAUGAAAUCAUAUCUUUGGUUAACCACUCUUGUUAUUAUUAUUAUUAUUAUUAUUUUUUUUUAAAUAGCAGUGACAAUGCACCUAUUUUUUCAUGUAAUCUUGUCUUCACUAGCUUGCUGGAUUGUCGUAAUUCUUUAGUACUUUACCUAUCUGAUCUCAUGAGUUCUAACAUAUAAAUUUGUGUUAACUACUGCAA